CUUGUAUGAUGAUUCACCAAUAUUAUAUGUUUUUUCUGGCAUCUCUAAUGUUAGAGCUCUUCAGCUCGAUGAAUUCAACUUUUGACUAUAUCUGAUU
rnacentral:snoRNA from 1 species